rnacentral:rRNA from 1 species
GUGCCAGCAGCCGCGGUAAUACGUAGGGGGCGAGCGUUGUCCGGAUUUAUUGGGCGUAAAGAGCUCGUAGGCGGUUCGGCAAGUCGGAUGUGAAAUCUCCACGCUCAACGUGGAGGGGCCAUCCGAUACUGCCGUGACUCGAGUCCGGUAGGGGAGUGUGGAAUUCCCGGUGUAGCGGUGAAAUGCGCAGAGAUCGGGAGGAACACCCGUAGCGAAGGCGGCACUCUGGGCCGGUACUGACGCUGAGGAGCGAAAGCGUGGGGAGCGAACAGGAUUAGAUACCCUCGUAGUCC